rnacentral:rRNA from 1 species
UACGGGGGGGGCAAGCGUUGUUCGGAAUUACUGGGCGUAAAGGGCGCGUAGGCGGCUCGCUAAGUCGGAUGUGAAAUCCCCAGGCUUAACCUGGGAACUGCAUUCGAGACUGCAUUGCUAGAGUAUGGGAGAGGGAAGUGGAAUUUCCGGUGUAGCGGUGAAAUGCGUAGAUAUCGGAAGGAACAUCAGUGGCGAAAGCGACUUCCUGGACCAAUACUGACGCUCAUGUGCGAAAGCGUGGGGAGCAAACAGG